AUACGGUGAAUACGUUCCCGGACCUUGUACACACCGCCCGUCAAGCCAUGGAAGCUGGGUGUACCUAAAGUCGGUAACCGUAAGGAGCCGCCUAGGGUAAAACUAGUAACUGGGGC
rnacentral:rRNA from 1 species